UACGGAGGAUGCGAGCGUUAUCCGGAUUCAUUGGGUUUAAAGGGUGAGUAGGCGGGUUAGUAAGUCAGUGGUGAAAGACUGUCGCUUAACGAUAGGCAUGCCAUUGAUACUACUGAUCUUGAGUUCAGUUGAGGCAGGCGGAAUGUGCCGUGUAGCGGUGAGAUGCUUAGAUAUUGCACAGAACACCAAUUGCGAAGGCAGCUUGCUAAACUGAUACUGACGCUGAGUCACGAAAGCGUGGGGAUCAAACAGG
rnacentral:rRNA from 1 species